CAGUAGCGUAUAUUUAAGUUGCUGCAGUUAAAAAGCUCGUAGUUGGAUUUCGGGUGGGAAUGGCCGGUCCGCCGUUUCGGUGUGCACUUGCUACGCCCACCUUGCUGCCGGGGACGUGCUCUUGAGUUCACGCUCGGGACACGGAGUCGGCGAGGUUACUUUGAGUAAAUUAGAGUGUUCAAAGCAGGCCUACGCUCUGAAUACAUUAGCAUGGAAUAACACGAUAGGACUCUGGCCUAUCUUGUUGGUCUGUAGGACCGGAGUAAUGAUUAAGAGGGACAGUCGGGGGCAUUCGUAUUUCAUUGUCAAAGGUGAAAUUCUUGGAUUUAUGAAAGACGAACUACUGCGAAAGCAUUUGCCAAGGAUGUUUUCAUUAA
rnacentral:rRNA from 1 species